UGUGUGUGUGUGUGUGUGUGUGUGUGUGUGUGUGUGUGUGUGUGUGUGUGUGUGUGUGUGUGUGUGUGUGAAUAUUUUUCAAUCAUACAAAGAGUAUUUUUAUUCAAUAGAAUUUCCUCUGCAGAUACAGUAUACUCUGUACGAAUAAAUUAAAAGCUGCGGUUCGGACGAGCUUGAAUGAACCCUCGCGUCUUCUCGUUCGACACUACUCGACUCGUUUCGCGCACAGGUGGAAAAAGGGGGCGUGGCAGCAGAUCGCUGAGGCACACCAACGGAGACGCACCCUACUGCAGCUGAGGGCCGAGUUGAGGGGCGUGGGCGUGCUUUGCUGCACUUGUUUGAGUAUUCGUGUAUUCGCGAUUCAGUUCAAAUAUAUUAUUUUGAAAAUAUAAUACAUUUUAGCAAAGUUUUGCCAUAGUAUUAUAGGUAUUUCCGAACUGUUUUUAGGCACAGGCUGUUCGGUAGAGAUUUCGACGUUGUUAGAUAUCCUUGGAUACAAUUUAUAUUAAAUUCCUAUUGUGUAUAUAUAUAUGUUUUCUUUAUCGAUAUUUUGUCUGAGUAUUAGUGUUUUUGCAACCUAUAAUAUUUUCAUCAAUAUUAUUGAAGUAAAACAAUAAAUGGAUUACUUUUGCGUGCGUUUAAACUUAAACCCUGUGAACGGAAGACAUCCUUUUGACUCAAAAGAACCAAAUUAUUCACAAGUGGCGAUCUUGCCAGGAUGUCGGAUUUCUGGGGGUCUGUGUUUGGUGAUAACUUAGGAUAUCACUCCUCUCUUGUCGACCUUGGGGCCCGGAGACAAGUGCCACAGUGUCCUAGCGUAACGGGAGGAAGCGUGGGAGCUGUCCACCCUUUUGUGCAUUGCCCGUAGGACCUGUUUCUGAUUCAGUGUCCCUGUAUCAGUGAGAGUAUUUUUGAUGUACUAGGUGCAGGACUACGCCUAGAAUUGCUGCUAGGUGCGGAUGUGUUUUCGGAAACUCCAGUGAGCAUAACAUCUCCCUCAGUACUGCCGAGCGUUUGAAGCCUGAGAUAUAUCCCAUAUCUCUCCUCUCCACCUGCAGUCACAUUUUGAGGAGGAAGUAGAACAACUACAGAAGCAAGGAAUCGUUAGAUUAUCAUCGUCUCCUCACUGUUCACCCGCGGUAAUGAUACGAAAAUUUGAUGGUACGUAUCGAAUGGCUAUAGACUAUAGAGCCCUUAACUCUGCCACAGUUUUUCAUGCUGAACCAGCCUGUAAGAUAGAAGAUGAUCUACAUAAAUGUAAUGGUUGUUUAUUUUUCUGAACUAGAUUUAACGAGGGCUUACUAUCAAAUUCCAAUCUCUUGAAGGACUUAAUCCUUGACAGCAUUUCCAACACACAAAGGCUUAAAGGAAUUUUGUAGACUACCAUUGGAUGCAGAAAGCUGUGUGCAACUUGUGUUAGACUCAUGAGGCUCAUUCGAGUAGGAUUACCUAACGUAACCUUUUACUUUGACAAUAUAUUCAUAUAUGCUAAGGAGUGGAAACCUCAUCUAGAAGCUAUCAUCUCCGUUCUGGAGCGUCUGCGAAAACGCAACUUGACAGUUCGUCUCUCCAAGUGUAGGUUUGGGUUUAAUGAGAUUAAAUAUUUAGGCUUCGUGAUUGACGGGAAGUAUCUGAAACCUCAGUAUGAUAAAAUAGAUGCUCUUAUGCAGAUUCCAACCCCAAUUACAAAGAAGACGCUUCGAUCUAUUCUUGGUAUUUCUUUUUAUCGCAUGUUUAUUCCUCAGGCCUUUGAACUCUCGGCUCCGCUCUCGGACUAGUUACGCAAGAAUGUGCGGGAACCUUUAAUGUGGACGAAAGAAAUGGCUGAAAGGUUUGAAUAACUAAAAUCUACCUUGUCAAUAUCAUGAGGUUCUCGAAUUACCUGACUCUAACAUCCCAUUCAUUCUUCGAACAGACGCUUCUGAUUGUGGACUUGGUGCUGUACUAUUACAGUACUUGGAGGAUUCUCCCUAUCCUGUGGCUUAAACAAGUAGAAAAUUCUUAGUACGUGACAAGACGUAUUCUACAAUAGAGCGUGAGUGUCUGGCUAUCAUCUUUGGUGUUCAAAGAUUUAGAUAUUACUUAAAGGGCAAAGAAUAUAUUUUAGAAGUGGAUCACAAACCACUAGUGUACAUGAACAUAGCCAAAUCCUCUAACAGAUUGAUACGAUGGGCUUUGUGUUUGCAGUCUUUCAGAUUCAGAAUAGUCCAUGUUGCAGAGACUAAUAAUGUAGGUGUUGGCCUACUUUGUAGGUCAGGUAAAUGAUUUCUGAUUUUAAUGGUAUAUAGCCUAGCUAUAUACUUGUUGUGGGACUUGUGUGAAUAUUUUCCAAGCAUACGAAGUAUUUUUAUUUAAUAGAAUUUCCACUGCAGAUACAGUAUACUCUGUACGAAUAAAUUAAAAGCUAGGGUUCGGAUGAGCUUGACUGAACCUUCACGUCGACUCGCUCGACACUAGUCGACUCGUUUCGCGCACAGGUGGAAAAAGGGGGCGUGGCGGCAGAUCGCUGAGGCACACCAACGGAGACGCACCCUACUGCAGCUGCGGGCCGAGUUGAGGGGCGUGGGCGUCCUUUGUUGCACUUGUUUGGGGAUUCAUAGUGUGGCGAUUCAGUUCAAAUAUAUUAUUUUGAGAAUAUAAUUCAUUUUAGGACAGUUCUGCUGCAAUAUUGUAGGGAUUUCGGCGUUGUUAGAAACGAGCCAGCCCUGGCUCUUGUGACAAUUUAUUUUUCUUUUGCUUUUGUAGGAAUGUCCGGCGUUUUUUAGGGGCAUGCGGUUCGGUAGGGAUUUCGGCGUUGUUAGAUUUUUUGGAUAAUUUUUAUAUUAAAUUCCUAUUGUAUAUAACUUUUUUGUUCUAAGCAUUAAGUUUGUUUUUGAUUCCUAUAUUUUCAUCAUUAUUGUUUGUCUCCUAAACAUAAUAUUGAAGUAAAACAAUAAAUGGAUUAUGUUCA